GUCGUUGUAGUAUAGUGGUAAGUAUUUUCGCCUGUCACGCGGGUACCUCGGAUUUGAUUCCCUGCAACGACA